UGCAUGGUGGAGCAGUUGGUAGCACUGUUGCCUUGCAGCAAGAAGGUCCUGGAGGUCCUGGGUUCGACUCCCAGCUGGGGGUCUUUGUGCAU